rnacentral:rRNA from 1 species
AGUGAACGCUGGCGGUAGGCCUAACACAUGCAAGUCGAACGGCAGCACAGGAGAGCUUGCUCUCUGGGUGGCGAGUGGCGGACGGGUGAGGAAUACAUCGGAAUCUACUCUGUCGUGGGGGAUAACGUAGGGAAACUUACGCUAAUACCGCAUACGACCUACGGGUGAAAGCAGGGGAUCUUCGGACCUUGCGCGAUUGAAUGAGCCGAUGUCGGAUUAGGUAGUUGGCGGGGUAAAGGCCCACCAAGGCGACGAUCCGUAGCUGGUCUGAGAGGAUGAUCAGCCACACUGGAAUUGAGACACGGUCCAGACUCCUACGGGAGGCAGCAGUGGGGAAUAUUGGACAAUGGGCGCAAGCCUGAUCCAGCCAUACCGCGUGGGUGAAGAAGGCCUUCGGGUUGUAAAGCCCUUUUGUUGGGAAAGAAAUCCAGCUGGCUAAUACCCGGUUGGGAUGACAGUACCCAAAGAAUAAGCACCGGCUAACUUCGUGCCAGCAGCCGCCGUAA